rnacentral:misc_RNA from 1 species
GUAUUGUAUUGCGUUAAACGCGGCAUGCAUUCCAUGAGACUUUGUUACAGUGUGUGUGUAAAGACGCAGAACCACAGCAGGGGGACAGAGCCCACCCAGGCCAUAGAACUACAGAGGGUGCACAGGUGUGAGUGGAUGUGUAAACAGAGCGUGCACAUGCCCCCAUACAGGGACCAGCAACAACUCUUGUUGACAAUUCGGUAAUGAUCCUUCCGCAGGUUCACCUACGGAAA